rnacentral:lncRNA from 1 species
UAUAUCAUGCAUAUACGGUGCAACCAAUCCAUCUCUUACAUUACUCUUUUCAGUAUCAUCAUGGUCACAAAGAUUUUACAUGGAUUCCACUUCCAUGUGGUCAAAGAUAAAUGUUACGGUGGAAGAUAUAUAUAUAUAUAUAUCGGUACAAAUAUAUGAUUGCGCCAAUCAAUACCAAUCUAUCGGCAUCAGACGUCCUAGCCUGCUGAUCACGUUUCAUCGCUAUACACAUAUAGGCGGAUCAAUGACGUGCAUGAUGUUUAUGCUAUAGAGAUGAAUGGCAGACCAUCGUCGGCAAUUGAAGCUUCUUGACGCCACACAUUUCCGUGCUGUAGGCUAUGAAGCUACUCCUGCUCAAACACCCAGCAACCGCUACAGCCCAAGAGAAACUGAGAUCCGGCAAAUCACUCAGACAGAGCAUUAAGGCAUCAAAUUAUUACUAAUAUUGGUAGGGAACAGAAUUUGUAAUUUAAAAGACAGAUUGUGAUAAUGUAUGCGAUAAAUUGUACUGUAUAUUAUAUUUUUAUAAAUUUAUAUAGUGUACCCUCAAUGGAGCAACCAACAUAUGGUACAUGCUUAUAUAUACGCCUGAAUCUCUGCAUUGCACAAUCUAAAUUACUAUGUACAUUCUGAAUAUCAUUUGCGUAUAAUAGAAGAUUUCAUACCUCAACCUGUAUCUGUGAAGCUCCUGGUUUUCCUGGUCUAUUGAAAGGGACAGAAGCAGUCGCGCCUUGCGGAACAACGCGCCCCAUAGCACUUCUUUGAAUAAUCCCAGGUUAUCUGCAGUCUCCAUGCAUUAUGGCAUUCAGAGCGCUAGGCCAACAGUGUUAUUGCUUUCUCAGGCUAUAAAUUGUAUCAUAUAGUGUACAUACCAUUCUGUGAAAAAGAACGAAUAUAAUACGACACUAAGUUAUAAGAAAACUCGAAAAAGAGAAUAAAACCAUAAGUGAAAUAUCUCAUACCCUCUUGAGCGCUCUCAAUCUUCAAAGCGGUUUUCAUGGGUGUUCAUCAUAG